UACGGAGGGUGCAAGCGUUAUCCGGAUUCACUGGGUUUAAAGGGUGCGUAGGUGGGCAGGUAAGUCAGUGGUGAAAUCUCCGGGCUUAACCCGGAAACUGCCAUUGAUACUAUCAGUCUUGAAUACCGUGGAGGUAAGCGGAAUAUGUCAUGUAGCGGUGAAAUGCUUAGAUAUGACAUAGAACACCAAUUGCGAAGGCAGCUUACUACCCGAAAUAUUGACACUGAGGCACUGAAAGCGUGGGGAUCAAACAGGA
rnacentral:rRNA from 1 species